UUAGAAACCUAGACUUUUGAGGGUUCGAAUCCCUCUUCCGGUACUUACUAAUGCAUUCAUGGUGGAAAUGGCUAUACACUACA
rnacentral:tRNA from 1 species